GUCGUUCUUAUAACAGCUUUUGUUGUUCGUAAGAAGAGGAAGAGCUCCAAGACUUCUAUUCAUUUUCCAAACAAUGAGAGGAAACAUUUUCCACGUUGGCUCUCUAAUUUGCCACCUUCCUGACAAAGGCCUGUAAGUGACCUCGAUGAGUCCGUCUAGAGCUAUCAAGUGAGCCGAGGUCGAUCUGAUUACACCAGCCGACAGCCGCUGACAGUGAUUUCACCGUCUGAAUAAACGCCAUGCAUAUUUCAGGAGGACAAAGGAGGGAGAAGAAACACAAACACCCUUCUAGGUGGCUUCUGUGAGCGCCCGUAAAAAAUUCAGAUGCUAAAGUGGGCAAAAGACAAAAACAUCACGAAGAAAGACCAAACAGAAAAUGCUGCGUGGGUGUUGUUAUUGCGCUGUAUUUGAACAUGGACCGUGUAACACAAAGCCAUCAAAAAUAAUUAUUAGUGUUAAUUACAUCACCCAUGUAGAUUUAUUAUCAACUCUGAGGAAUGAAACAAAACUACAAAAUAGCCUCUUCACAUUUGGAUCAUCUGAAAAUGUUAGAACAACAAAAGGGUUUGUUUCUUUUUCUUAAAUUAAGUGUUGCACGAUGGAAGCAGCAUCUCAUUCAGGAUCAACAUCAUGCAUUUGAGCGUUAACAAAAAAAAAGACCGACAUAUCUAAAUUAAAAAUUUUAAAAAAUGGAUGAAAUGCAGAUUUUGUUUCUUGUACAGCAAUUCCAAACCCUUACUGUUUCUUUGUUACAACUCUCUUAGUAAUAAAGAUGCGACGACAUGGUGAAAAUGUUCAUCCUUUAACACAAUUCUUAAUCUUUUUUUUUUUUAAUAGACAUCACAUCACCUCAUAUAAA